UACGUAGGGUGCAAGCGUUGUCCGGAAUUAUUGGGCGUAAAGAGCUUGUAGGCGGUUUGUCGCGUCUGCUGUGAAAUUUCGGGACUCAACCCGAACUUGCAGUGGGUACGGGCAGACUAGAGUGUGGUAGGGGAGACUGGAAUUCCUGGUGUAGCGGUGAAAUGCGCAGAUAUCAGGAGGAACACCGAUGGCGAAGGCAGGUCUCUGGGCCACUACUGACGCUGAGAAGCGAAAGCAUGGGGAGCGAACAGG
rnacentral:rRNA from 1 species